rnacentral:rRNA from 1 species
GACGAACGCUGGCGGCGUGCCUAAUACAUGCAAGUAGAACCCUGAAGAGAGGAGCUUGCUCUUCUUGGAUGAGUUGCGAACGGGUGAGUAACGCGUAGGUAACCUGCCUUGUAGCGGGGGAUAACUAUUGGAAACGAUAGCUAAUACCGCAUAACAAUGGAUGACACAUGUCAUUUAUUUGAAAGGGGCAAUUGCUCCACUACAAGAUGGACCUGCGUUGUAUUAGCUAGUAGGUGAGGUAAUGGCUCACCUAGGCGACGAUACAUAGCCGACCUGAGAGGGUGAUCGGCCACACUGGGACUGAGACACGGCCCAGACUCCUACGGGAGGCAGCAGUAGGGAAUCUUCGGCAAUGGGGGCAACCCUGACCGAGCAACGCCGCGUGAGUGAAGAAGGUUUUCGGAUCGUAAAGCUCUGUUGUAAGUCAAGAACGGGUGUGAGAGUGGAAAGUUCACACUGUGACGGUAGCUUACCAGAAAGGGACGGCUAACUACGUG